AAAUGGGCUUGUCUACCCACUUCCUUCCCCAUUUCUCAAUUGCUUCAAAAAAAAGGAGAGAGAGAGUUAUAAAACUCUCUUAACUCCCCUCGUCAGCGUCAACCACGGCAGCUCACGGUGGCAACCGUGGCAGUGCACGACGGCCGGAGUAAACCCAAACCCUCAAAACCUUCCUUUCUUAACCCCCAACCCGAUUCCUAACUCACUUUUCCCUAAAACUUCUCCUAGAAUCCAAAAUCUAGGUUUACACCUUUCGGGAAAACGAAGAUCCGGUGACCUCUUUUCGCCUCCGACAAACAUGGUAUUUGUGGGAAUCAUCGACGGCGGCUCGAUGGCUCGGCAGCGGCUCAUACGUCGGUGGGAGCAAAAGUGUCAAGCGGUGGCUAAGCUGAUGGCUUGAUAUAUUAGGGUUAACCCUAAUCUGGAAAUACAUCUUGGACCGUUAAUUGGCAUCAGAUCCAAUGAUGGAAAGCUGGAGGUGGCUAGGGCUUGAGAUGAAAACACUAACGGGUUUGAGUGUGGUGUUCGGUCGGUUCGGGUCUAGUCUGAAUCAGUUAUGGGAAUGAACCAGGUUGUAGCUGGGUUUCUGCUUGUAAUUGGGUCUGAAUAGGCCUGAAAAUUUGUAGACAAAAUAAUAAAAUAAUAAUAAUAA